rnacentral:lncRNA from 1 species
GUUGUUAGAGAGUCUCAGAGAUUGUCGGAUGGUUGAGUGGACUAGAAAUUUAAAGUUAGGCUCCUUCUGGGACCACUACAUGAGUCAUCAAGUGUUGUCAGUCAGGUUCUGAUCUUGAGAUCAGUAACCAAUUGAGGUGGAGAUUGGGUGGAGACUGAUCUCAUAGUGCCGUCUUGUCUCUUGAGUUGAACUGGUCUUAUUGGGCCAUUAAUGGAUGCUUGGCUUCAUCCCAAGGAGGAGAACUUGAAUCCGAUAAUGGGUAAUCCCGAUAGCAAUAAUUUUGAACUUUAAUGCACUUGGAGUAUAGAAAUGAUGGCCAUCUUGAAUCUAAGAGA